rnacentral:piRNA from 4 species
UCGCUGGUUCGAUUCCGGCUCGAAGG